AUUGAACGCUGGCGGCAGGCCUAACACAUGCAAGUCGAACGAGUGGCGGACGGGUGAGUAAUGUCUGGGAAACUGCCCGAUGGAGGGGGAUCACUUCUGGAAACGGUAGCUAAUACCGCAUACCAUCGGAUGUGCCCAGAUGGGAGUAGCUAGUAGGUGGGGUAACGGCUCACCUAGGCGACGAUACCUAGCCGGGCUGAGAGGAUGACCAGGCAGACUGGAAGUGAGACACGGUCCAGAGGCGUACGCGAGGCAGCAGUGGGGAAUAUUGCAGAAUGGGCGCAAGCCGGAUGGGGCAAUGCCGCGUGUAUGAAGAAGGACUUCGGGUUGUAAAGUACUGUCAGCGAGGAGGCGUUACUCGCAGAAGAAGCACCGGCUAACUCCGUGCCAGCAGCCGCGGUAAUAC
rnacentral:rRNA from 1 species